GACGAGCGCUGGCGGCGUGCCUAAUACAUGCAAGUUGAGCGCUGAAGGUUGGUACUUGUACCAACUGGAUGAGCAGCGAACGGGUGAGUAACGCGUGGGGAAUCUGCCUUUGAGCGGGGGACAACAUUUGGAAACGAAUGCUAAUACCGCAUAAAAACUUUAAACACAAGUUUUAAGUUUGAAAGAUGCAAUUGCAUCACUCAAAGAUGAUCCCGCGUUGUAUUAGCUAGUUGGUGAGGUAGAGGCUCACCAAGGCGAUGAUACAUAGCCGACCUGAGAGGGUGAUCGGCCACAUUGGGACUGAGACACGGCCCAAACUCCUACGGGAGGCAGCAGUAGGGAAUCUUCGGCAAUGGACGAAAGUCUGACCGAGCAACGCCGCGUGAGUGAAGAAGGUUUUCGGAUCGUAAAACUCUGUUGGUAGAGAAGAACGUUGGUGAGAGUGGAAAGCUCAUCAAGUGACGGUAACUACCCAGAAAGGGACGGCUAACUACGUG
rnacentral:rRNA from 1 species